UAACGCGUAUGCGACCUGCCCGUUGCAGGGGGAUAAUCGGGAGAAAUCCCGUCUAAUACCGCGUAAUGCCGCGGGGCUGCAUGGCCCUGCGGCCAAAGGGAGCGAUUCCGGCAACGGAUGGGCAUGCGUGACAUUAGCUAGUUGGCGGGGCAACGGCCCACCAAGGCGACGAUGUCUAGGGGUUCUGAGAGGAAGGUCCCCCACACUGGUACUGAGACACGGACCAGACUCCUACGGGAGGCAGCAG
rnacentral:rRNA from 1 species